rnacentral:rRNA from 1 species
UACGUAGGGGGCAAGCGUUGUCCGGAUUUAUUGGGCGUAAAGAGCGUGUAGGCGGCUAUACAGGUCCGCUGUGAAAACUCGAGGCUCAACCUCGAGACGUCGGUGGAAACCGUAUGGCUAGAGGUCCGGAAGAGGAGAGUGGAAUUCCUGGUGUAGCGGUGAAAUGCGCAGAUAUCAGGAAGAACACCCGUGGCGAAGGCGGUUCUCUGGGACGGUACUGACGCUGGAGACGCGAAAGCGUGGGGAGCGAACAGG